AUUGACCAUUAUUUUUUAUCUUUUUGUUCAGAAUCUGACUUUUCUGUUUUAUUUUUUUUAUUUUUUUAUUUCUCUAAAAUAAAACGAAACCCGUGAAAAUCAAUGCCAUCUUCGAGCUGUCGGACCCGAACCCCUUUACUACCAACUACCAAGGCAAACGAAGGCAGAAGAGACAGAGGAGGAGCAAGAGAGAUGGGGAAGCGAGUCGGGAGCAGGAAUUCGAACGAGUCGGCAUUGACUCGGUGGGUUCAGUCGGUCUUUGGGUUCGUCAAAUUCGCCGAGUUUGAAAUCCUGUUUGUUCUUUUCUUCGUGAUCGCGUUCCUCGUUUUCAAAGAUCUCGUAAGUUAUCUUUCUCUUCUUAUAAUCCAUGCUUUUAGGUUUCCCAAUUCUCGUUAUAUUCUGUUGUUUGGUUGAUAAAGUAAUUUCGAUUCUUGAAAUUGAUUCUGUUCAUAUUGCUAAUCACCUCAUGCGAUAUGUGAAUCUUACACAACGAUUGAAAUAUACAGAUUCUUGCAAUUUGGUAACUUUUUUUUUUUUAUUGAACUUGCCAAAUAAAACUUUUGGGGUAUGUGAUGAAAUUAAAUGAAACUUUUGGAGGUUUUUUAGACGAGUUAUUCUGACUCAGAGUUAUGGAUGAACAUAAGAAAAGCUUAAAUCAGAAACCUUGGGUCCUAUUAAGGUUUGGUAGUAUUCAAAGUUUGUUUCUUUACCUAAGUGGCCAUUCAUAUGAUAAUUUCCACAGUCCUUACACCCCCAAUUUGAUCUUUCAACCUCGGAACUCUUCUUUCAACCUCGCAAUUGUAGUUUGCUCUAGAAGUUAGUUAAGAAAUGGCUCCUUUUCUAGCUAGGCUAGCGUAGCAAGCCCCGUCACAUGGAGUAGCUGAAAUGGAGGUUUGACAUAAGUAAGGAAGGAAGCUAGGCAUAUGCAUUUCUAGGAAGCUAAAAAGUUAAUUGCAAGUGCAUAUAAAGAACAAAAUUCCCUGGCCAUCUCAAGGAAACCUAUACCCAGUACAACUAAGCCAAAAUCUGAUGUGAUCACAGACGUUUCAUUUAUGAAAACGUAAACAAAAACCCAGCAAAGAAACAAUGAAAAUCCACCCCUCCUAGGAACAAAUUCUGAAUACAUCACAUUUUAAUCCCUAUACUUUAAAUUCACUGCUAAACUUUAUUAACAAAUUAAAAAUAUUUUGAGAACCUGAUUGAAUCAUUGGAUGGAAGGUAAUAUUGCUUAUUUUCACCCAAUGCUUGAUGAUUAAGCUACUAUAGAAAUUUAUUGAAGUUGAUGCUUAUUGGAUUACCAGCUUGUAUUAAUUAGAGACCAGAACAAAAAUUGGUAUGAGAAACCCUUGAAAAAGUAAAGGGUAAAAACAACCAGCAAAUGCACCAGGUGAAAAUGAAACAACUAUUUGAUCUUCUGAACCUUCACUUACAUACCAACAAGGUUAUAUGAUUUGUGAUAUAAAGAAGGGCCACUUUAAGGAUCCUCUUUGCUGUUUCAACCUGCUUUUAGUGUCUUUUGGCGAACAAUCUGAUUUUAAGUAUCUUGAUGUUUUGAGUUAUAGAUGUUUCUAAACCUUCCAAGACGGAAGCUUAAUGCACACGACAGUGACUUAGUUCAUGUUCUUCCCUUUUUUUUUUUCUUUCCAUCUCAAUUGAAAUGGUUUAAUUUUUUAGUUUUUCUAUUUUAAUCCCACACUUUUCUUUGUUCACCCCAAUACUUAAUCCUUAAGCUCUUAAGUUUUAUUAUUGUGUAAAAAGACUCAAAAUAUAUAUAUAUAGAAAACUUGACUUUUUUGUGACCAGCAUCUUAACAUUUGAAUGUGUAAACUGCAGACAUCGAGGCCGGAAUACAGUCAGAUUCUCGUAAAAAAGCCAGGUGGAGGUGGUUUUUGGCCGUACUAGCUGGAAAUCUCAUUGUUGGAUUGACAUUUGGUAUUUUGGAUGUUGAUUAUGGACUUUUUUUGUGACACAACAGGAUUUCUUCCCAUCCGUGUAUUUGUUGUAAUUAUAUGAUUAAACAACAGCUAUCGAUAUUGAACAAUUUUGUCUAUGGUGCUUGUUUCUACAUAAGCCGAGAAGCAGGGGGAGAACUUAAAGAGCAAGGCUUCCUUGAACUCCUGAAAAUUCUAGUAUUGGUCUUUCUUGACCGGCCUGUUCAUGAUGGUCUUAAUG
rnacentral:lncRNA from 1 species